GAGCACAAAGUCUGAGGCCUUGUCAAAUACCCAGUAUUAACUUUGGAUACUGACCCAGAAGUGGAGCAUUGCAGAGGUAAGAGCAUGGGCAGGAGAAAAUCAGUAAGAUGUUUCCUGUAAAAGCCUUUUGCCAGACAAGAGGAAUCAUUACCACGAUGAUACUUCUAAUUAUAAUGUCAUUAGGGCACCACUGCAGGUUCCUAUGGCGCAUGAAGUUUUUCAGCAUCUUGAUCCAAAAUGGGCAAAAUGUAGGCAUUAACCCUUUCACUGGAAGUAGACUUGAAUAUCUAGGCAAGCUGAAAGAACACAACUUAUUUUGAAGUUAAGUCAUAGUAUUGCUGAGAGUUCUGGAAAAUUUAGCAGUUGUAAAGAAUACUGAAGAGUAAUUCCCCUGAUCCUUCUGCAUUCAUGCCAGAUGUCACAGAUGGACAAUUGAUGAUAUGUGUUUCUCAAGACACCAAAAAGCUAUCUCUCCCUCUCACCACUGCUCACCUUUAUAAACUGAUUUCUGCCUUCUUCCUGGGCUACAAAAUGACAGCGCUUACUAUCUGUCCAGUCGUCUGUUCCUGUUUAGCCAAUAUGAUUCCAUUUUGAUCUGCCAAUUACAUUAUGUGCUGUUGCAAAGAAGUUUGUAAAUGAGUCUUUGUUCCUUAGAUGGAAAGCGUUUUGAAGGAGUUCUACCAGCCUGAUGGUAAAUCAUGAACGUCAAAAAUGAGGCUGUCUAAAAAUACAUUAGAGGUUGAUGUAAACAUUGCUGGUAUCAGAGGAGAUGGUUCCCAUCAACUUUUGGGAAUGCUGAAUCUGAUGUCCCUUUACAUACACCAAGUUGCUCAGGACAGACCUCCUCCUUCAUGAUGCCCAUGGAAAUCACUGCAGAUUUGACAGCUCUGGCUCCUGGUAACUCCUGUGGGCUCCUCGAGUCCAUAGCAAGGACAGCUGCCCAAAGCCAAGGUUCACCCUCAUGGGAGGUGGGUACAGAAAAAAAGUCUGCUGUUCAGCUGGACCAGGAAGAGAAGUGGAGAAGUUUUCAGUGGCAUUUUCAGAGGUGUUUCACAGCCAGGAGUGUUACAGGAGUGGAAGACCUUGUGCUUUUGAUAAGUCUGUGCCACAGUGGGAUUCUGGCAUCCCUUAGAUGAGACAAGCUUCGAAGGACAUUGCUAACCUCCAUUAGAAGUGUUUAAUUCGUUCCCCCAUUACCUUCCAAAAAGAAUACUACAUAUGGAAGAUGAUGUUCCACUUUCUAAAAGAUUUCCUCUUCUGAUGCUGGUUGAGAAGUGUGUAACUAUGGACAGCACCUUCGGACUGUGAAGUGGUUCUUGCACCUGCUCUUUUCUUUGUUUUUGGAGUAGCCACGGGGGACCAAGGAGCAGAGCUCUUCCCUCCGUUCCCUCUGUGUUAUUCCAUCAUCUCCUGUAAUUUUGCUGUCAGCAUUUGUUCUGCCACACAACAGCCUGUGACUGUCCUGCAGACCUCAGGGGAGCAUCCCUGGUACCCACAGCUUUUUUCCCGUCUGCUGGCAAAUUAUAGCAUGGUGCUUGCUCUGAAAAGUUAUAUGACUGGGAUUAUACAUUUACAGUUCCCCAAGCUGUACACCGUGUGAUUAAUAGAAUUAUUUACUUAUUUAUUAUGAUGAAAUGCACUGCAAUAUGUUUGCAAGACGGACCAGAUCCAAAACCCACUGAAGACGCCCAUGAGCCCUGAGGAAUCACAUUGCCUUGCAGCCACUGUACAGCCAUGAAAACCAGCUGAAAACAAAACCGAGCCUCUUCGGAGAAAGCCCCACAAGUGACCUCUUCAGCAAAGUGGACAAAGAUUUACAUUGGCUUCUCUUCUCCCCGGCUAUCACUUACACUACAUGCACACUGUUGUUCCUCCUGCCUGUGCCAUUGUACUUCCCUUCUAACCUGUUUUCAACCUGCAAAGGCUUUUGCAAGGAAGUCAGCACGCAGCAAUGGGAUAGAGACGUUCCUGCUCAGCACUGGAACUUCUGGAGAUGAUAAACACAAGCAACUCAUCCCCAGCUCCAUCCUGAGCACCUUCAGCAUUGCCACUCAGCACCUCAAAAUUGUGUGCGUCCAAUGCCAACUGCCCACCAUGGCAAAGGAACAAGACAUUUGCUCCAAGUUUCAGUGUUAAUAAAGAAGGUGAAUCUUUCACACCAGUGGUUGCAGAUGUCAUGCACUUGCCUCCUGCUAUUUGGAUCCACUGUGCUGCAGAGAGUGAACCAGGCAAACCCACCUGUAGAGGAGGGCAGGGAAAGUGAAAUCCCGAGCACCAAGCAGAGUCUUGCUGGAGACCACCGAGGAGACACAGCAUCAGCAAUUGCUGACAAAGCCCAUUGCACCAUCAGAACCAAGCCAAGGAUGAAAGAACGUGACACCAAUCUGUAUUUCCAGCAACCUUUGUUGGAAAGGUGGUCUGCGCUCAUGAAUACUGUUGUUAUACCUACAGCCCCCAAAGAGCAACCUACUUGAGCUGUGACAGAGCUGCUCAUAUAACCAAGGGUAUAUGGUUAUGUAGCCUGUCUGGGGAUGUAAGCACAUUUACCUGUAGACUAAAGGAGAUGACCGAAUCCUUGUAAAUGAGCACAAAACAUCGCGAUGCCUAUGCCUUCAAACACCAAAGGAUGAGCAUGAACAGUGUCUCUAGAGCCACUCCAGACUCUAGACACUCAGCACUAGGUGUCCUGUGCUGAGAUACGACUACUGCUACUGACCACAGCUCACGUGCACGUGUCACAGGACCAGUCAAGGUCGUAAACUUAAGCAUAUUUAUAUCUCUUGGUAGGAACAGAGCUGUAAUUAUAUUUUGGGUGUUUCUUGCCUUCUUCAAUUGCUGCCAGUGCUGCUUGUUUGCUACAGCGUAACCCGUGGCAUAUUUUAUAGGUUUUCAACCUUUGCACACAAUGGAUUAGAAAGAAAGUCAAUUAUGCAUAAGAUUGAAAGAGUUAUGUAAAUAUAAAACCAAUAUAAUGUAUUAUUUACAUACAGCCUGUACUUACCCUAAGUAACUUCUGCAGAAACCUGGGCUAUCACAAACAGCUCACACCUAAUUUCUGAGCCCUAUUCCAGAAAAGAGGGGAGGAUUCUGGCUACCUUAAAUCAGUGCUAAUAUUUUCUAGAUGAGAGCAUAUUUGUAUAAGAACAUAACUCAACAUAACACGGAUGGACAACAAGCAGGAUAAAUCUCUAUCAUUUAUUACAUUUGCUGAGCGAUCAAAGGUGUCUAACUAGACAUUUUUCCUCAUUGGUUGUUUGCAUUAGAUAUGCAAAUCUCCUUUCUUGCAGAGCCAUUUCUGAAUAUAUUUGCGAGGCUAUUGAUGUCCAUUACUUCACUUAAAUAUAGAUCAGAAAUACUGACAAAUAUUUUCAUUCAAAGAGUUUGAUCAUUUUCAGAUUACUCUCCAUGCUAGUAAUUAACCUCAGUCAACACCCUUCCAUAGCACUUUCAAACACAGUUCCUAGCAAACAUAAAGUUUCAUAAAUAUGUACUAAAUAACCUUAAAGCCCUUUAUGAAUAAUUAUGAGUUUUUAAGUUUUUGUGAAUCUGCAUAUUAAUUCCACGCCAUAAAUAAUACAUGAAGCAAAAAUCCAGCUUGUUUGGUGUCUGGGGACAGAGAAAGAAAAGGAGGGGAUAAUUAUCAGUUUAAUGUGGGAAAAUACUUAACCUAAAAGAUUAUCUUCAAAACUGAUGACUCUAUAGGUUUGUAUAUACGUGUGUGUAUAAAUACAUAUAAGUAUAUAAAAUAUACGUGUAUGAAGAUAGGUUUGUCUGCAGAUACGCAUCCAGCCUGAGAAAGCCUUAAUUUGAGGCAUGUUACAUUCCUGUCUCCUCUGUGCCAUGCUGAGCUCUUCAAGUGCAAAGUGAUGCGAUGAGCUCAGCCUCCACACAACCCUUCUUUCUAUAAACGUAUGUUCCCCCAAAGGUAGAAAAUUAAUGAGAGGCUGCUGACUAAAAUUACUACAUUUUGCCUUCUGUGGGACAUUAUGGAUUUAAAAGAUAAGCAAGAGUGCAGCAAGUCCAAAAACAAUUUCAUUUCGUUAAUCCUUUAAGUGCCUCGGGAUGAGCAGCCCAUGUCCAGCAAAGGUGAUGCUUCUGCAUGCCUAUUGCACAGCAGUACUUGCACACUCUGCUUCUCGGCUCCACAUGGAAGGCAUCCAGUGGGGUGGGAUGAUGUAUGGCUGAAUGGUCUUAGGCUGACACUUCCUGGAUGCUCGCUGACAGUAAUAGGAAACGUAAGCGGUGUGCAGAGACAGCUCGUAGGUAAAGCAGGGAGUGUGAAUAGGAUUUUUCCUCUUUAUUCCGUACAGCUUACAGCAAAGAAAAGGCAUUUUCUGCUCAAAUGUCUUUGAACAAAACAAAGUGGAAACUAUUAUGUUUCAAAACCAGGACCCGGGAACAUAUUCCAUGUUUGCCUUUGUCAAAGGAGUACAACGAUUUAUAGUUUGGGAAGAAAAUCAUUGCAUUCCAAUUUUAUAUUUUUCAAUAAGUGACUCCAUUUAUUUUUUACAUAUUAAUCCACCUCCAUAAUGAAAAUAGAUUUCACUUCUCAUUUCAAGUCCUUCAGAUCUAUUUCACUUCCCGGUCAUGCUCAGCGCUUGGCUAGGAGAAUGAAAGGCAGUAUUUCAAAUAAUAGCAACUCAAUAGCAAGCCUGUUCUCUUGGUUUUAAUGCAGAAAGAAGAAAAGAUAAACCAAAUUUGUACAAGAAUCUUCAGAGAUAGGAGCACUCCCUUGUUCUGACGCCAUUUCCCAGCCCUGCAGCAUCAGGAGAGCAGUGCUGUUGGUGCGGGGGUGCUGCCGGGAGCAGGGUGAGGGGCUGGGGAUAGGAUCCCACAGAAGCGACUGAAUCCAAAGCUCAACUUAAGACUGCUCAGAAAGAUUCCAGGAGGGGGUGAGGGGCUGCUGGAGGUGCCGGCAGCACUGUCUCGUCACGGCAGCCUGCUAAUUAACCGUGAUGGGUUUUAAAGCCUCAGCUGGAAGCAGCUUCUGGAGAAACGGAUGGAGCACCCAGGUUUGUUUUGUAUCCAAAAAGGGGGACACAGAGUUGAAAAGAAUUGUUGUAAAGGCCUGCAUCAGUGUUAUUCUGCAUCCGUCUGCUUUGCGUACCGUUUGCUAGGAAUUUAUAAAGUAACAUACAUUCAGUAUGAAGGAAAAAAAAAAAACAAACAACAGAUCUUUAAAAUAUUGAACUGUGGCUGCUGUGCCUCGUGGAAAGGUACAGGCUUCUCGUCCGGGAGUUGCAUUGUGUGGAUGCAAACCUGUUGAUGAGUGGUUUAAGCUAAUUCUCAUUUAUACUGGACUCAUAAAUCCAUAAACUUUGGUAAGAACUCAGCUGCAGCCGAUGUUAUUGGUUGAACUGUUUUCAUCUGAAGCCCAUUCUGAAUCCCCAACAAAAAUAGUAGGCCAGAUGCCCAGACAGCAGCUAGAGACCCUCAUUAGGCAUCAUUUGCAUCCUAUUAACCACUGAGCUGUGGGUCAUUCGCUGCCUGUCAACCAUUCAAGUCAUUCCUUUUGUGUUAAUUAGUAGAGAAAUAAGGAGUUAAUGAAGAUCUUAUGAUCUGUGAUGAUUCAUCUUUGUUGUUUCAAACGAAUCCCUGCUCUCCGAGCACCCCAAUGAGCUCCUGCACACCGAAUAAUAGAGGAAUAGUGGAGGGAGCUUAGGGCGGCCUUUGGAGUGCCAUUCUCUGGGGACCUUUUGCAUGGUGGGCUUUGUUAGCUAAAGAUUAGAAGGAGUUAAUUGCUUCAAGAUUGCUCGCAGAUUAGGUUACAUGGUGUGUUGUAUCUAUGUAAGCAUAUGUCAGGUCUAGUUAAAAGAUAGAAGAUGCUUAUUUUAAUAAAAUUAUGAAAGGAAGAAUUAAUUUGUCAUUAUUGUAGAAAUCUUAUUUCUACCCUUAAUUUGAGCACUUUCAGAUAAAUGCAGGGCUGGUUUCCGUCUCAUUUUCCUGCUCCAAAUGGGAGGGUCCCAGUUUUCCUGCCCAUUCUGGGGACAGCACAGCAUGGCUGUGGAAAGACACAGAUGGAAAACCCAAAUCAACAGACAAGCAGUAAGAGCAGCUCUUCUUCUUUAGGAAUUUUCUUUAGGAAGAAAUGAUUCCUCUUUCCACGCUAGUUCUGGUGAACACAUUCUCACAUCCAGCAAGCUGACAACAAAGUUCCACAACAGGGGUGAUGAAAUGCACAGACCUUCAUGGCCUGGCUAUAUAAGAAGACACCAGAAGUGAAAUAUACUUGGCUGUAGACCAUAGUAGGUUGAGAAGGAGCACCUUCUUGCUGUAGAGGGUUGCUGCUCUUCUUACCAUGGUGGCAAUAACCUCCAGAGAGCUGAGCUCCAGCAGUUGGCCUACUGAGGAGAGUCUGUGUAACCACUGCUCCUCCUCCACCUCCUCGCUGGAUUUAUGAAUGGCGCCAAGUUCUCCUGAGAAGCCAACGCCUUCCUUUUAUUAAAAGUAAAGAAACAAAAGAAUCUCCAAACUGAAAUUAAUUAUUCAGAUUUGCCAAAUAUUGGGAAGGUUUUUUAUUUAGACUUUUUUUUUUCUUCUGCCUGUACAUCUAUCGGAUGGAAAAUUAAAAAAAAAUUAAUUAUUCAGCUCUGUACUGAAGUGUCAGUGAAUGCUGAGGUGGUUCAGCAAGGAAGAACGGCCUAAAAGAGAGGUAAGGAUCUGUGCAAAGUGUUUGGGAGAAAUCCUGAAAAACUGUUUGUGAUUCACAUCUCCCAGGUGGUAAACAGAAGCUCAGUGCACCCCCUUGGCUUGUACAGAGGUUUUGCACUGCCCAACUGGUCAGUGAGGAUGGAGGAGAUGCUGUGAUGGGGUGCUGGGAUGCUGUGCAGGACGCUGGGCAUCGUGCAAAGCUGUGGCAGUGCUGGUGCUGGGAUCCUGCUGUCACCUAUAAGGAGGAGGAGUGGAGCCAGCGCUUUUCCAGGCAGAACCACAUGGCCAGUGACAGAAGGAUCAUUGUAGCAUUUACUGAAUAACUGCUUGGAUGAUUCAUUACAUUAAAAUCCCUCUCCACUUUAAUUGCUCUAAAUGAAGAUACAGUUCACGCUGUUUGGAUGUUAAAGGGAAAACACCCUACCCUGCCACAGUGCGUGUGCACCGGAGGAAAAAUGAGAGACCAGCACAAGAGGUGAGGAAAGAGAUGUGACUGUGACUGUGUGGCUUCAGAGACGGAAUGGGGAUGUAAUUGGAGGCACUGCAGAGCCACAGGGAGAUGGGCUGUGAGCAGAGCCCCAGCCUGCACUGCUCAGGUCCCAUUCAAAAAGCAUCAUGCCUAAAGAACUGCAGGCAGGACCACUCCUCGAGCAUCUCCUUAAGCCCAUCCCAGGUUUCAGUGGUAGCAUUGGCAGCCAUAGGGUUGUUUUUUUUUUUUCAACAUCAAUCAGAAGACAGAUUUUUCAUGGGGGCAGAAGGGGGGGGACAAGAUAGAGAGAGAGAAGAGGAAAAAAAAUAAGCAGAAGUAAUUUAUUCGGGAUCUUUGAGAGGAUAAUAGCCAAUUAUUUGUUUAUAACACUGGUUAAAUUUUCAUUAGGCAGAUUAAUGGAAUAUCAUGUACUGUCAACAUUGGACUGAGGGGUGGUCUGUAAGAGAUAAACGGGCAAACAGUCGGUGUGUCUCCCUGAGUAAAUUAGUUUUUGCUUUCCUGUUUUUCAUAUGAAAAUGGAAAGGUGGACAAGGUGGUGCAUUUUAAAACAGGUCUCAAGAUGGGCCAAAUCAGUUAAAUAUGAAAGCAAUUCUGGUAAUAAAUACAUUAUAAUAACUUAGCAUCGUGCCUAUCAUUUUGAUUUCAUGAAAGUCUGGGAUAAUGUAGAUUUUUAACCUGCUCUCUUAAUACACAUUUCCUCUUCCUGAACUUCAGCGUUUCUUGCUGUGAGGUGAAAGCAUAUUACUUUUUUUUGCCUGAUUUUCCUGUGUAAUCUGUUCGGUAUUACAGCUGGUAAGUGCUAGAGGCUCACAGCUCUUUCUUGUGAAUUCUGGUAUUAUCAUCCUGGAUAGCAUGAACAGUCCCCUCUAAGUACUGUAUUAUCAGCAUCAGAACCCCUGAGUGGUUAUGGUUGCAUAUCGUGCUCUUUUGAAGUCAGAAUAUUUCUACAACACUAAACAUAUUAGCCUGGGAUUUUCAGACAAGCCACAGAGAGGCAGACACCCAAAUUUCAGCUGGAGUUGGGCCCAGACAUCCACUUAACCUCUUUGAAAAUCUCAAGUCCUUUUGCCCAAGAGGCCAAGUGGAUGUCUCCUCAGCCUCACCACCAGCAGUGGCACGGCCCAGGCAGGUGGGAAGAAGUCUUCCCCAGCAAGCCCAGGGCUCUGUGGGACACUGUGAAGUGUGGAGAGCCCAAAUGCAUUCCAUCCAGGCUUGGCCAUUAAUGAUUACAGAGCACUAAAAAGGCCUCUUGCUAUGGGGAAUGGAAAAAACAUUUAUUUCUGAUGAUAGAUGACUAUGGCAGUGCCAGGAUGGAGUCUGCUUGCGGUCAAGCUGGGGAAAUUUUCUCUUUUUGGUCCCAAGUCAGCUUGGUUUUGAGGCUGAAAAAUGCUUCCAAGUGUAAAAUUCAUUCUUACACUUCUCUAUCCAUCUCUACAAAAAAAAAAAAUGACCUGACAUUUUGUUUGUGAAAUCCCUAGGUACAUACACAGUGCUAAUAAAUAUUCUUAGGCAUGAUAUGGGGAUGACUCACAUGUACAUGUUACCCUGACCUCAUCAGAACAUCUGUAAAGGAAACAUAGCUGAGCAUUAAGUAACAGUUCAUGGCACUGGUCUGAAACAGUGCUGCUUGGCUUUGUUGUUCCAGCCUUUUUCAAAAUCCUCCUCUCAUACAUUUGUAGACCUACCCUUGGAAGUCAGUGUUCACCAUUUCCACUAGCCAGCAGGCGCAGUGCACUCUUCUGCUGCUGCAGAACAUGGUACUUUGCCAAGUGCCAGUAUUGGCACAGGCUGCUCAGGGAAGUGUUCCAUCCCUGGAAGUGUUCAAGAGCUGUGGAGAUGAGGGAUGUGGUCAGUGGGCAUGGUGGGAGUGGGCUGGUGGUGGUUGGACUUCUGUAUGAGCUUAGAGGUCUUUUCUAACCUAAUGAUUCUGUAAUCCUAUCGUAUGAUAGAUUUUUUUUUUUUUUUUCCCAAGAAAGAGAUGUUAAUUAACACAUAGAAGGUGUUUCUGGUCUAUAAACAACUUGUAAAUUAUUGAUGACUUUAACUUUGUUUAAUUCUCCUCCUGAAAGUAUACCAGUCCUGUUUUCAAAGCAACCAGGAGUUCAGUUGCUGAGAAUGAUAGGUGGGGCUUUGCUUGCUGUACGGACACAGUCACCCAGUCCUGCAGGGAACUCUGACGUACAGGAAUGGUUUUCACUUUGAAUGGGGACAAAGGUCAAAGCUGUGACAUUGGAAUUUCAUUUUAAAAAUGUUUUGUUUUUAAGACUGCAAAAUGGCCACUUUAAAAUAUUCCACUUUGAUCAUGCCAGAAUGUUAUAAGAAAAGCAGACAUAUUUUAAAUCGUACACACAUAUUGUAAAUUGUACGGUUAAAGAUGAAAUGGUCUGAAGAAAUUGAACUGAAGCAAAAUAAAACCAGAGUUCUUAGUGAAACAUUCCCCCUGAAUUUGAGCCUGUUUUUAUCAAACUAAAUUUUUUUAAAAUCUCAGUUUUGAUGGAAAAGCAUUUUAUGAUUGGAAAGCCCCUCUGAAAAAAGUCAGUAAAAGUUAUUGGAUCAUUGGGUUCACCAUGCUGAAAAACACUUACACACUACAGAGAAGGUUUUUUUCUGAUAUAACCACACUCACUACUAGAAUCCAUUCAUUUCAAGGAUUCUUAUAUCCCUUUAAUUACGUCUGCGUAAAGGCAGCAUAAAUGAGAUCAAAACAAAUCGCUGGCAGUAAUGAUCUAUGAACUAUGCUGAAUGCUGUCCUGAAGUACAUCAUUGUCUAUUUUUAUUCUAUUGUUUUUUAUUUUGAGUUGUUGCAGUGGUGCAGGAUCUGUGCUGGCAUCUCCAAGGAGUUAGAAUGUCUGCUAGCAAAGUUACGGACGUCUGUAAUGGAUGGGAUUAUCUCUACUACUCAUCAGUGCAGAAAGAAUAGCACUAAUAACGCAAGUAAAUUCUCAUCUUGCAGAUGUUUUUCUGUUUCAUCUUGGAAGUGAAUCUGUUCACUCAUAAAUCUUGCUUUGCCUU
rnacentral:lncRNA from 1 species